rnacentral:rRNA from 1 species
GGGAAGUGCGUGCCUGAGUCGUGGGUAAUACGGAGGUUGCGAGCGUGUUCCGGAAUUAUUGGGCGGAAAGUGCUCGGAGGCGGUUUGGCACGUCGGGAGUGAAAACGCGGGGCUCAACCCCGAGCCUGCUGCCGAUACGGGCAGACUAGAGGUAUGCAGGGGAGAACGGAAUUCCUGGUGUAGCGGUGAAAUGCGCAGAUAUCAGGAGGAACACCGGUGGCGAAGGCGGUUCGCUGGGCAUUACCUGACGCUGAGGAGCGAAAGUGUGGGGAGCGAACAGGAUUAGAUACCCUAGUAGUC